UAACGACUCUCGGCAACGGAUAUCUCGGCUCUCGCAUCGAUGAAGAACGUAGCGAACUGCGAUACUUGGUGUGAAUUGCAGAAUCCCGUGAACCAUCGAGUCUUUGAACGCAAGUUGCGCCCGAAACCUUUGGUCGAGGGCACGUUUGCCUGGGUGUCACA
rnacentral:rRNA from 5 species